CAUGGGGUUGCAAAGAGUCGGACACGACUGAGCGACUGAACUGAACUGUGUUGGCACUUAAUUUUAGGGGCAAAGAGAAGUCAUGACACAUUUUAAUAAUCAUGUUUGCAGUUUAGAAUUGUUCAACAGGGGUUGGGGUGGGGACUGGAGACAGAAUUUAAGCAAGAGAUGAUCUUGAUCUGUGAAUGACAGUAGGGAUGGAGAAAAGUCAGAUGGGAUGGUACUUAAAUAGAGAAUUAUCAGCAACUGCUGGUAGAGGGGAAAACCCAACAAAACUUUUCUUUCCCCAUUUCUCCUUCCAGCUGGCCCCCCAAAUGCCGUCCCAUUUCCAGUCCUUUCUUUCACUGCAUUCGACGAUGCUCCACCAAUGCUCAGCUCGGUCAUUUCGUUUUCUGGUGCACUGCUCUUAGAGGUUUACAGUGGCCCGGAAACUACAGUCCUACGGGACCUGGGAGGGCUGUGGGCACCAAGUAGUUUGCACACAGCCCUGCCAGCAGCGCAAAUAAAUGACCUCCCUAACACCCCAAAGCUGGUGCAUUACAAAGUGCAUAUUUCAAAUCCAGCUUUAGGGAUUUUUCAAUAACACUUCAUUGCUGCUUCCCGAUGUUAAACAAGAGAAAGUUAAAACAACAACAACAAAAAAACAGCAUUACCCAAAUACAAUGUCCUGAGCAAAGCAACGGAAACAACCAGAGACACCAGACAGCCUGUCAGGUGUUUGUCUAGGGGUACCAGUGUUGCAAGUCCGAGGCCAGUCCCAGAGAAUGUGAAGUGCGCAUGUGCUGAAGGGCCUAGGCUCGCCCCAUCGCAGGGGCGGAGGAAGGACAGUGCGCAUGUGUUGAAGGUCUGAGGUCCGCCCCGGAAGAGGUGGGGAAGGGGCCUAAAAGCAGAGGUUUGGUGCUAUCCGUUAGCCUAAACAGCCCAUGUUCUGUUAGCGGAACCCAUGCCAUGGACGAUCCCUUCAUUACACCUAGGACCACUGCCUUACGGCUUCUCCGUAAGCAUUACAUCUUCGGAUUCCCCGAGGGCCAAAGAGAACACGGGACCGGAAGCGCUGACUCCCCCCGUGGUAUUUCCAGGGGCGGAGGAAGAUGGCGAAAUCCAUUGGGUAGUGGGAUCAGAAGAGGGCGGUUCACUCGGCCUGUGUCUGGGGCACUAUGGGUAUUGUAGUUCAGGGCUCCGCGGUCCUGCUUGCGGCGAGGAAUCUUGGAAGCCAGUGGGUCCAAGCUGGUCAGGGAAGCGCCUUGCACUGGGGCAUCAGAAUGCCCUUUCCCUUAAUUCUUACCUUACUAUAGUUGCUGGUCUUCCACAACUUAGAGGAACCAGCCAUCUUCCAAGAAGCUUUAGCAACUCUUCUCUCCUAUCCAGGAUAGGUUUGAGAUGCUGACUCUUGGCUAUAAGGACAGUAGACCUGACCUGAGUGAGUAAUGAAUGAUUGUGUCUCUGUGUAUCUGAGAGAGAGAAGGAGAGACAAUGAAGGAGAAUAUUAAUGUGUGAGUAGGCUGUAUCCCACUCAAUCUUGCUCUAUUAAAGAGUUUAAAGUGGAUAGUGUAUAUCUACUUAAGGUCAGGUGGUGACAGUAGGAAAGAAGAAUAGAUUUGUUAAGCAAAACAACACUGGAAACGAUUAACUUUUAAACUACUUAUACUUGCUUUUUAUGCAUUUCCAGUUUAAAACCCACAAAACAAACUAACUUUGAGAAUGGUUAAUUAAAUUAACCUCUUAAACUUUAAGGUGGUUUUUAUUUUGAUUCAUAGUAUGGAACCCUGACCUGCCUCCUGAGAAAUCUGUAUGCAGGUCAAGAAGUAACAGUU
ensembl:lncRNA